GAUCAACGCUGGCGGCGUGCCUAACGCAUGUAAGUCGGACGGGUGCUCUUCGGAGCACCAGUGGCGAACGGCUGAGGAACACGUACGCACCUGCCCGCCCGCGGGGGAAUAACGCGCCGAAAGGCGUGCUAAUACCGCGUACGCUUGCCCUGCCGGGCAAGGAAAGGCUCUGGCCACGGGCGGAGGGCGUGCGGCCCAUCAGGUCGUUGGUGGGGUAACGGCCUACCAAGCCGAUGACGGGUAGCUGGUCUGUGAGGACGAUCAGCCAGACUGGGACUGCGAGACGGCCCAGACACCUACGGGUGGCAGCAGCGAGGAAUCUUCGUCAAUGGGGGCCACCCCGAUCGAGCAACGCCGCGUGGAGGACGACGGCCUUCGGGUUGUAAACUCCUUUCGGGGGGCAUGAAAGGGACAGUACCCCCGAGAAGCAGCCCCGGCUAACUCUGUGCCAGCAGCCGCGGUAAUACAGAGGGGGUCAAGCGUUGUCCGGAUUUACUGGGCGUACAGCGCGCGCAGGCGGGCGCCAGGUGCCGUGUGACAGCCCCCUGCUCAACAGGGGGAGGACAGGGCAGACCGGCGCGCUAGAGGCCGAGAGAGGGUGGUGGAAUCCCCGGUGGAGCGGUGAAUGCGUAGAGCUCGGGGGGAACACCAGCGGCGCAGGCGGCCACCUGGCUCGGUGCUGACGCUGAGGCGCGAGAGCGUGGGGAGCGAACCGGAUUAGAUA
rnacentral:rRNA from 1 species